AGCCGAAGGAGGAGCGGCCGCGUUCUGCUGAGCUACGGAGGGAUCAGGCUUGCGGGAGGAGCAGAGCGCAUGGCACUGCAUCUCCGAAGCCCCUGAACACCAUGGAGGUGGUUUACCGUUGGAUCUGAGCAGCCACUCACUGGGCAGCACCUUAGCUGCUGUAUUCACCAUGCUGAGGGAGGCUGUGGACAUCCUGCCCAGAGAAGCAGGAUGUCCAGGACCAUGCCUACCUUCACCAAGGAUGUGGUGGGAACUUGAAACCUGAGACUUCCAGAAGAUGCUGGCCACCAACUGGUGCCCCACAAAGAAACCCCACAAGUCCUGCCAGCACUGGACUCUUGCUCUUUCUCCUGUAGCUUUGCCUUGGCUCAAGACCCAUCCGCACCAGUUCUCUGGUCCCUGGGAGAUCCUUUGGAGGCCUGGCUGUCCCUGUGCUCUGCAAGAGCAGACAAGAUGUGGGUCUUGUUGGGCCCCAAACAGGCCUGAACCUCUGCAUGAAGGAGGAGACUGGAGUCUCUCCAUCCCAUUUGGGAAUUCUGUUAACAAAUCACUGGAGGCAGCCUGUUUCUCUUUGUGACCAGGAGGAGUUUCAGCAGGAAAUUCAGCCUAGUCCUGGGGGCCCCCAGCCUCUGACUUAAGAAUGUAGUUUCAAAGGGGACGAUACUUCCCAAGCAUCAGUGUGUCAGACACAAGGCCAGGACAGAGUAAUGAGCAUGGUGAGAGUUGAGGAAAAGCUGAGAUGCCCUCCAACAGGCAGGCCCCGAGGAAGGCUGCCUUAAGGAAGUAGCCCAUCAGCCCUGUAGGACAUGGAGGUGGUCAAGGGUGGCAGAGGACUGGGUUUGUCUUUCAGAUUUCUGAUUUCCACAGCAAAUUCCUAUAGUAACUUGCUCCCUGAGAUAAAGCCCCUGCCCUCCGACCGUGGAAGGGAAAUGGGCAUGUGGGAAGCAGCUUCUUCCCUGAGGGCACUGGGCUAUGUCAGAAGGGUUCAGCAGUGCCGUCUUCUGUGGCGCCUUCUGUGGCGCCACUGACCUCUCCUUUCCCACUGGGUACAGAGCUUGUGCCAUCUGGACCUUGAUCCUGCGAGGCUUCCUGGCAGCAGCUUCCUCGAAACUGGGGGUCUAGGCUGACACUAUCCUAUCCAUUCAUGCUCCCUACUGUCCUGUGGUGGGACAGGACCAGAGCAAAAAGCCUCAAGAGGUUUAUCCUGGGUAAGAAUCAGCCAGAGAUGUCUGUUGCUGUGUAACAAACUACCCCACCAUUUAGCAGCUUAAACAUAUUACAGGUUCGGUGGUUUAGGAA
rnacentral:lncRNA from 1 species